rnacentral:rRNA from 1 species
UACGGGAGUGGCAAGCGUUAUCCGGAAUUAUUGGGCGUAAAGCGUCCGCAGGCGGCCUUUUAAGUCUGUUGUUAAAGCGUGGAGCUUAACUCCAUUUCAGCAAUGGAAACUGGAAGGCUUGAGUGUGGUAGGGGCAGAGGGAAUUCCCGGUGUAGCGGUGAAAUGCGUAGAUAUCGGGAAGAACACCAGUGGCGAAGGCGCUCUGCUGGGCCAUAACUGACGCUCAUGGACGAAAGCCAGGGGAGCGAAAGGGAUUAGAUACCCCUGUAGUCCUGGCCGUAAACGAUGAACACUAGGUGUCGGGGGAAUCGACCCCCUCGGUGUCGUAGCCAACGCGUUAAGUGUUCCGCCUGGGGAGUACGCACGCAAGUGUGAAACUCAAAGGAAUUGACGGGGGCCCGCACAAGCGGUGGAGUAUGUGGUUUAAUUCGAUGCAACGCGAAGAACCUUACCAGGGUUUGACAUCCUGCGAAUCCCUUGGAAACGAGGGAGUGCCUUCGGGAGCGCAGUGACAGGUGGUGCAUGGCUGUCGUCAGCUCGUGUCGUGAGAUGUUGGGUUAAGUCCCGCAACGAGCGCAACCCACGUCGUUAGUUGCCAGCAUUCAGUUGGGCACUCUAGCGAGACCGCCGGUGAUAAACCGGAGGAAGGUGUGGAUGACGUCAAGUCAUCAUGCCCCUUACAUCCUGGGCUACACACGUACUACAAUGCUACGGACAAAGGGCAGCAAACUCGCGAGAGCUAGCAAAUCCCAUAAACCGUGGCUCAGUUCAGAUCGUAGGCUGCAACUCGCCUACGUGAAGGAGGAAUCGCUGGUAAUCGCAGGUCAGCAUACUGCGGUGAGUACGUUCCCGGGCCU